AAAUAUUUAAUAUUUUACAAAUGCGAAUUAUAUACAAUUACAAUUUCAAAUAUCACUCUUUCCUGGAGACACCUGACCUGCAUUAUUAAUAUACUUCUUAAAUUCAUACAAAGAAAUCUCUCCAUCCGUGAUACUAUCAUUGCUGCAGCUGACUUCCAGCACAUCAGGGUAUUCACUGAAAAACAUAUCCCUACAUUGUUUAACUUCUUCACUUAAAUUAUCCUGAUUAUGAAUCUCAGCAAAUGACCCAGCCAGUAACACAACCUUCCCUGUUUCAGUAACAAUCAUUUUGCCCUCAUUAAUCAACACUGGAAUAUUAUGAUCCCCACAAAUCCCAUUUUCUAAAUCAUAUCCCAAACAAUUUCAAGUUUGAUAUCCCUUCAUAUAACCUCCAAUAAAUCACCUACUUCCUCACCACGGCCUUUGCCCAUUUGUUGUUAAUAAUGUAACUCGGAGACUGAUGCACCAUCACACAAAAACUCACAUUUCUCCCAAUUUGCUUCCUGUCCCAUUAUUAAUCCAAAUCCAAACUCAUAAAGACAGGAAGGCUGACUGACGUUCAAAUAAACUAAUCACCCUCUGAGUUCCCACUUGAGCGACGGGCACUACAGCCAAUGACAGCAGGGGUUAGUAUUAAAUUUGAGCUGCGAUAGGCUGGAGGAAAUCGGCCCAUGAUCAGCCCCUCCUCUUCCGCUCCAUCGCCAUGGCGGAGAUCAGCGAGUCGCUUCUGUCGGUGUCGCCGGCCUCGGCGCCCACAAGGACGGGUGUGAUUCCCCUUCGCGCCCCGGUGGGUCUGUUUCGGUGACGUCUGUGGUGGCUGACGAAACAUGCUUUGACAGGGAGCGAACGAGGACCAAUGACUACAACUCCCGGAAGGCCCCACUGAUGACGUUGUGUUGUUGUUUCGGGCUUUCCCACCACAGAUGUAAGGCUCAAUGGUCUAUAAUUAUCUGGACUAUCCCUACUACCCUUUUUGAACAAGGGGACAACAUUCGCCUCCCUCCAAUACUCCGGUACAAUUCCCGUGGACAAUGGGGACAUAAUGAUCUUCGCCAGAGGCUCAGCAAUCUAUUUCCUUGCCUCGGAUGCAGAACUGGGAAGCGCAGAUGGAGUUCAACACAGAUGAAGAGGUUCAUUUCUGCAGGUCAAAUUUGAACACAGAAUAUAAUAUUAAUGGGACAUUACUCCUGACAUUGGUCCCAAGACCCAGCCUGUUUACAGAACCGGAGCGGAACUGGAGCAGAUUCUUAGACACUUGUUUUCAUCGCAAAUCCAGAAGACAGUUUAACGUUUUUUCGUGAAUUUAUUCUGAGUGAAGGUGUGGAGAUGGGAGUUGGUCUCCGCGUUGUAAAAUGAAUCUGUCCCGGACUCGUAACUGAGAUAAAUUCCCACCCUCCCGGGGUUGGGACAGGCAGCGAGUCGGGGUUCAGGGGAGGUGGCAACACUGAACAAAUCAUAAUUCAAGUCCGAUAACCCCUGUCCGAUGACCCAGAUCAGCCAGAUAGUGGCGUCUGUGUCCACAGGACACUCGAAGCUGCUGCGUCGGUUGAGAGUGUUGUUAAGAAGCCGUAUGGCGUACUGGGCUUCAUCAACUGUGGGAUUGAUUUCAAGAGCUGUGAGGUGAUGUUACAGAGGAACAACGCCUUAGUUAGACCACACCUGGAGUACUGUGUCCAAUUCUGGUUACCUCAC